AGAUGGUCACAUUUUCGUUGAAUGCAGACAUAAAAAGCUUGAGAUUGGUUCGUGCUGAAAAAUGGAUUCACUUUCAAGGCUUGGUGACUUUUGCCUUUACAUCAUUCCCAUUACCUAUUUAUUUUUCAGAUUGUGAAGGAGACUUGGGUACGGGCUGGACGGUGUGUUAGGGAUUUCACUCUCUACACUGGCUCCCUUGGGACAGCAUUCUUACUUUUCAAAGCAUAUGAAGUCACCAAGAACAAGAAUGAUCUCAAUCUCUGCAUUGAAAUUGUGAGGGCUUGUGAUACUGCUUCACGAGAAUCAAGACAUGUGACAUUCAUCUGUGGUCAGGCUGGUGUGUGCGCCCUUAGUGCCGUGGCUGCAAAGAACGCUGGGGAUCAUGCACUGCUCAACCACUACCCAUCCCAGUUCAAAGCGGUAAUGCUUUGAAAAUUUGUUGGCUAGAAAGUUAGUAAUGGUUGUCUUCUCGAGCCGAAAAAGAUAUUUAUGCGGUAGUAAACCAUUGUUUCUUUGUUUGGAAUUCUAAAUGCUUAUUGGUUACCCUUGUAACUCUUGUGUACUAUCCAUUUUUGGUUCCUCAUCAGAUGUACUACCUCAUUUGGCCAUUACUUCUCUUGGGGGUUUCUGGACUGUGUAUGAAUUGCCACUUCAUAGGGUAUGGUCGUGAAGGAAAUCAUCAAGGAUGGAAUACGAUUAGCCAACAAGGGUAGUUGCCCAUUGAUGUACGUAGCAUUUAUUUCGGUCCAAUAAAGUCAAUUCAUCAUAAUCC